rnacentral:rRNA from 1 species
UACGGAGGGGGCUAGCGUUGUUCGGAAUUACUGGGCGUAAAGCGCACGUAGGCGGAUUGCUAAGUCAGGGGUGAAAUCCUGGAGCUCAACUCCAGAACUGCCCUUGAUACUGGAGAGCUUGAGUUCGGGAGAGGUGAGUGGAACUGCGAGUGUAGAGGUGAAAUUCGUAGAUAUUCGCAAGAACACCAGUGGCGAAGGCGGCUCACUGGCCCGAUACUGACGCUGAGGUGCGAAAGCGUGGGGAGCAAACAGG